UGGGGAAUAUUGCGCAAUGGGCGAAAGCCUGACGCAGCAACGCCGCGUGAGUGAUGAAGGCCUUCGGGUCGUAAAGCUCUGUCGGAGGGAACGAAUGCUCUUGAGGUUAACAGCCUCGGGAGGUGACGGUACCCUCAAAGGAAGCACCGGCUAACUACGUGCCAGCAGCCGCGGUAAUACGUAGGGUGCAAGCGUUAAUCGGAAUUACUGGGCGUAAAGCGUGCGCAGGCGGUUAUGCAAGACAGGUGUGAAAUCCCCGGGCUUAACCUGGGAACUGCACUUGUGACUGCAUAGCUGGAGUACGGCAGAGGGGGGUGGAAUUCCGCGUGUAGCGGUGAAAUGCGUAGAUAUCAAGAGGAACACCUGAGGCGAAGGCGGAUUGCUGGGCUGAUACUGACGCUGAGGCGCGAAAGCUAGGGUAGCAAACGGGAUUAGAUACCCCAGUAGUCCCUGAGCGGGCUGGCAAGGCGCAU
rnacentral:rRNA from 1 species